rnacentral:rRNA from 1 species
GACAUAGGUGGCAAACGUUAUCCGGAAUUAUUGGGCGUAAAGGGCGCGUAGGCGGCUUGGCAAGUGGAUGGUGAAAUCCCUCGGCUUAACCGAGGAACUGCCGUCCAAACUGCUUCGCUUGAGACCGGGAGAGGUGAGUGGAAUUCCCAGUGUAGCGGUGAAAUGCGUAGAUAUUGGGAGGAACACCAGUGGCGAAGGCGGCUCACUGGACCGGUACUGACGCUGAUGCGCGAAAGCGUGGGGAGCAAACGGG